ACUUAAAUUGAAGAGUUUGAUCAUGGCUCAGAUUGAACGCUGGCGGCAGGCCUAACACAUGCAAGUCGAGCGGUAGCACAGAGAGCUUGCUCUCGGGUGACGAGCGGCGGACGGGUGAGUAAUGUCUGGGAAACUGCCUGAUGGAGGGGGAUAACUACUGGAAACGGUAGCUAAUACCGCAUAAUGUCGCAAGACCAAAGUGGGGGACCUUCGGGCCUCAUGCCAUCAGAUGUGCCC
rnacentral:rRNA from 1 species